GCAUUAAUGGGGUAGCGGUAACCUGGGUCGUUGCCAUAAGUCCAAAUUCUUCGUGAAGCUAAUCCUUUGACCCGCCGGGGGUUUGAUUCCCUCUUGAUGCA